rnacentral:rRNA from 1 species
AGUGAACGCUGGCGGUAGGCCUAACACAUGCAAGUCGAACGGCAGCACAGUAAGAGCUUGCUCUUACGGGUGGCGAGUGGCGGACGGGUGAGGAAUACAUCGGAAUCUACUUUUUCGUGGGGGAUAACGUAGGGAAACUUACGCUAAUACCGCAUACGACCUACGGGUGAAAGCAGGGGAUCUUCGGACCUUGCGCGAUUGAAUGAGCCGAUGUCGGAUUAGCUAGUUGGCGGGGUAAAGGCCCACCAAGGCGACGAUCCGUAGCUGGUCUGAGAGGAUGAUCAGCCAAACUGGAACUGAGACACGGUCCAGACUCAUACGGGAGGCAGCAGUGGGGAAUAUUGGACAAUGGGCGCAAGCCUGAUCCAGCCAUACCGCGUGGGUGAAGAAGGCCUUCGAGUUGUAAAGCCCUUUUGUUGGGAAAGAAAAGCAGCAGGUUAAUACCCCGCUGUUCUGACGGUACCCAAAGAAUAAGCACCGGCUAACUUCGU